GCAGGCUGCAACUCGCCUGCAUGAAGCUGGAAUUGCUAGUAAUCGCGGAUCAGCAAGCCGCGGUGAAUACGUUCCCGGGCCCUGUACACACCGCCCGUCACACCAUGAGAGUCGGGAACACCCGAAGUCCGUAGUCUAACCGCAAGGGGGCGCGGCCGAAGGUGGGUCCGGUAAUUGGGGUGAAGUCGUAACAAGGUAGC
rnacentral:rRNA from 1 species